rnacentral:lncRNA from 1 species
UUUAAAGCUUCAUUUUAUUCAUGCUUCGAACUUCAGUUACAUUGAACCAGUGUAUCGAUUGUGUGUACCUAGUACUUAGAAUCGCCAAAGAAGAAGAGGAGAGUCACUAGUGCAGCAGUACAAACCAGCAGGGUCAGCAACAAACAGAUUCAGCAAAACCAGUAGAACCAAUAGCAUGAAUUCCAGGGAAGAUUGCAAAUUAAACAAGAGGAAACCCAAGGGAUCAAUGUAAACACUACUUGGAUACCAACAGAAACUCAACAAACCCAAAUGAAUACCAGAAGCUAAAUACCAACAAAAACCUAAGAAAUUUCACACAAAAAAUAAACUCAAUGCCCAAAAUGCCCUCACAGUUAAAGCAAAAAUGAAGCAGACCUAAGAAAUAAGUAUUUCGGAUUGUGAACACUCAAAGAAAUAAAUUGAAUCCCUUGAAGUAAAGCUUAGCCUUUUAUAGCUCUAACUUACUGAAACUCUUAGAGUAAGAAUUCCAGCCUAUAUCACUCAAUUUCUCUUAACCGAUUCUUCUCCCCCCUCUAAGUGUCAAAUGACUCUUCUUUUAUAUCUAAAACAAGACUCUCUUCCCUUUUCCUUUAAUUAUUAUUACUACCCUCUUUUUAUUAUUACCCUUCCAAUUAUCCUCCCUUUCCUUUAAUUUUCAGUCCCCACCAAAUGUUCUCUUCUAUGUCUAUCUUUUAACCUUUUAUCAUUACUUAUAUUAUUUCUGAUUUUAAUUAAGCAAAAAGUAGUCAACACGGGUCCAACAAUCCCCCUUUUUCAAUGGUCAAAGAAGAUCACAUUAUUACCCCUCUUUACGUAAUUAUGUCUUGUCUCCCACUAUAUUAUUUUAAUAAUACUUUAAUCUAGUGGACAAAUCACUUAAAUUAAAUAGUUGUUCAAAUUUUAAAUUCCAAAAAUACCCCCCCCCCCAAAUUACAAAAAAUUACUACUCUACCCCUAUCAGCUAUAAUUAAUUCACCUAAAUCAAUUAACCAAAAUAUAGCAGCUACAACCAAUUCUUAAUCAAAUUCAAUCAACAAUUCAAAUUAAAUGAUAAACAACAAACAAAAAACUAAAAUUAUUUUGAACAACAUUCUUAACAAUAAAUAUACUUUCAAAUUCAACAACAAUAAUAAACAAGUAAAUUCAAAUCACUAAACUCGGAUUCAAAUUAAACUUAACAGAACAAUAAAACAGAUUCAAUUCACUAAACUUAAUCAUCAAUUGAACUUCAAAUUAAAUCUAACAAUAUUACAUCAAGAUAAAAGAUUCAAGUGAUUAAACUAAAACAUUUCUAUAUUAAAACUAAACAAUAACAAAUGAAUGAAAACAAAUUGAACUGGGAGUGAAUCUUAUCAACACUCUAAAUCAAAACUAUACAAAAAUGUAAGCUUACUGACAGUGAGACAAAUUCCAAGGAUUAGCACAUGACACAUUCGACAUCAAUCCAUUUGACGAGAAUUACAAACUACAAACAUGAAUGGACUAAUCGACGAAGUUAUUUAGACGACUCAACAAGUAUAACCCAUGACAAUCAAAAAUUAAACAAAUAACAAUAUUAAAAAUAGAACAAAAGCAGAGGAAAAACAAAAUACCUUACAAGAUUCGGGACUAAACGAGCUUAGGGUUCGAACCUCUACUGUUUUUCGUCAUUUUAUUUUUGUAUUUUU